rnacentral:rRNA from 1 species
GGUUAAGCGACUAAGCGUACACGGUGGAUGCCCUGGCAGUCAGAGGCGAUGAAGGACGUGCUAAUCUGCGAUAAGCGUCGGUAAGGUGAUAUGAACCGUUAUAACCGGCGAUUUCCGAAUGGGGAAACCCAGUGUGUUUCGACACACUAUCAUUAACUGAAUCCAUAGGUUAAUGAGGCGAACCGGGGGAACUGAAACAUCUAAGUACCCCGAGGAAAAGAAAUCAACCGAGAUUCCCCCAGUAGCGGCGAGCGAACGGGGAGCAGCCCAGAGCCUGAAUCAGUGUGUGUGUUAGUGGAAGCGUCUGGAAAGGCGCGCGAUACAGGGUGACAGCCCCGUACACAAAAAUGCACAUGCUGUGAGCUCGAUGAGUAGGGCGGGACACGUGGUAUCCUGUCUGAAUAUGGGGGGACCAUCCUCCAAGGCUAAAUACUCCUGACUGACCGAUAGUGAACCAGUACCGUGAGGGAAAGGCGAAAAGAACCCCGGCGAGGGGAGUGAAAAAGAACCUGAAACCGUGUACGUACAAGCAGUGGGAGCACGCUUCGGCGUGUGACUGCGUACCUUUUGUAUAAUGGGUCAGCGACUUAUAUUCUGUAGCAAGGUUAACCGAAUAGGGGAGCCGAAGGGAAACCGAGUCUUAACUGGGCGUUAAGUUGCAGGGUAUAGACCCGAAACCCGGUGAUCUAGCCAUGGGCAGGUUGAAGGUUGGGUAACACUAACUGGAGGACCGAACCGACUAAUGUUGAAAAAUUAGCGGAUGACUUGUGGCUGGGGGUGAAAGGCCAAUCAAACCGGGAGAUAGCUGGUUCUCCCCGAAAGCUAUUUAGGUAGCGCCUCGUGAAUUCAUCUCCGGGGGUAGAGCACUGUUUCGGCAAGGGGGUCAUCCCGACUUACCAACCCGAUGCAAACUGCGAAUACCGGAGAAUGUUAUCACGGGAGACACACGGCGGGUGCUAACGUCCGUCGUGAAGAGGGAAACAACCCAGACCGCCAGCUAAGGUCCCAAAGUCAUGGUUAAGUGGGAAACGAUGUGGGAAGGCCCAGACAGCCAGGAUGUUGGCUUAGAAGCAGCCAUCAUUUAAAGAAAGCGUAAUAGCUCACUGGUCGAGUCGGCCUGCGCGGAAGAUGUAACGGGGCUAAACCAUG